UGUUGUCAUAAUUGUAGCAAAAGCUCGCUGAAAUUGAUUUGCCUAGCGAUUUGUGCGGAAAUUGUGGAAACUGUGCCAUGGAAAUGGAAGCAAAUCGAAUUGACCACUGAAGAGAGAGAGAGUACCACAGCUGCACUGCAUCCACCGCGAUCCCCGGAAAUCGGAAUCCCCCCCAGAAAGUAGCCGCGUAGCAAGAAGCCAUGUCAACGGAGAGCAACACGCCAGUGGAUCCGCGGGUUCAGGUGGAGCUAGAGAAACUCAACUCCGCCACGGACAACAUCAACCGAUUCGAGGUGGAGCUCGAUGAGUCCAAGUGCGAGUUCAAGCGACUGCUGGCCGAAAGUGUGGUGCGGAUCAAGGCCGCCGCCCACAAGCUGGGCAACUCCAUCGAUGCCGCCAAGCCCUACUACGAAUCCCGCAUCUAUGCCGCCCAGCUGGCCAAGGAAACCCAGGCGGCGGCCGCCAACCACGAGAAGGCCAAGUCCAUCCAUGCCGCCGCCAAGGAGAUGGUCUACCUGGCCGAGCAGGGACUCGGCGAGAAGUCCACGCUGGACACCGCCUGCCAGGAGAUGCUCAGCCACGCGGCCAGCAAGGUCAACCAGUCCCAGCUGGAGGUCACCGACACCCGCAACGCCCUCAAGAUGUGCCAGCUGAAGCUCGAGGUGGCCAACAACCGGGUCGGCAAGCUGCAGGGACAGCUCAAGCAGGCGCUCAGGGCCUCCAGAUUGCAGCUCAAGCGCAAUUUACUUUUGUUGAGAUAUUUUAGCAUUAUGCACGCUUUGUAUUGUACCCUCUGUUCGCCGUACUACGAGACGCGGGCGAACUACAAUGGACUGCUGAAGGCGCAGAAGUCGCGGGUCAACGAGCUGGAGGCGAAGGUCAGUGCGGCGAAGCUGACGUACAACGAGGCGCUGAAGAAUCUCGAGCAGAUCUCCGAGGAUAUCCACCGGCAGCGGCAGCAGCGCAACAAUCUGUUGAACUACGAGGCCAUGCUGCGUCAGGUGGACGCCCAGGAACUCGAUGAAGAGGCUCCGGAAGAGGAGGAAGAGGAGGAGGAGGAACCAGAGGAGUACCUGCGCAUGCCGGAUCGCCUGGGCGGCGGCCAUCUUCUCACCGACUUUGAGGCAGUGCUCACCUUUCCCCAGAAGCUGGCCGGCGGCAUGCACAAGUCCGCCAGCACCGGUGCAGCUGGAGAGGAUGGGGGAGAGGGUUCCGGAGGAGGCCUGGGACCGCUGGACCUGGGCCUGCAUGCUCCCUACGAGGUGAAGUCCUCGGGCAGCGGUUCUUUGGCCUCGGGAUCCGCCUCCGUUUCGACUUCAGUGGGUGCUAAUGCGCCGGCGGACAACGAUAUCGAACAGUGGACGGAGAUUCGACUGUCGCAUUCGGAUAGCACCAGUUCCAGCUACUCGAAUCAGUCGCUCCUCGAGCAGCACGGCCUGGAGAGCUGCUCGGGCGGCGGCGGCGGCUUAUCUCUGGGCCGAAACCAUCUGGAAGCGGACGCCCAGUCGCAGCACUCGACCUCGUCGUCCGAUGAGCCCAAACGCAAGGUCACCUGCACGACGAUAUUCCAGGAUGACAGUGGAUCAUCUGGUGCUCCUGGCCAGCAGAUGAGCCGCAAGCAGAGCCUCAGCCAGUGGCUGUCGCGUUCGAACAGCUUCAAGGGCAGCGGACGAAGGCAGAGCCUCGAUCUGCUGAUCGAUGCCGGCGACAAGGUGAAGGAUGUGUUUAGCUAUGGGUUCCAGAAGGUGGGACGCAGCCUGGAGCGGCGCAACAGCGAGUCGGAGAUGGAUGGAUGCGGCGGAGCCGAGGGCGAGGCGCUGCUGGGAGGCGGAACAGGAGAAGGAGACUCCGGUGGAGGAGCAAGUGCCUCCGGUGGAGCUGGUGCCUUGUCCGGUGCCGGUGACUUUUUCCUCUUCAGCAGGUCAGUAGACGGUGGUCAAGGGGCAACUAGGGGCGGCGGCAGUGGUCGCAGUUUGCUCAACUCGCUGCAGAGCCGCCUCACCAAGCUCAUUUGAAUCAGAAUCCGUAUCCCGAAAACGAAACCGAAUUUUACAAAAAUAUUUUUGAAAAAAAAACAGCGAUGAUCAGCGCAAUUUUUGCACCCAUCUCAGAAAAUUAACAACCAACCAACCAAACAACUACAAAUCAACAACUGCUAAAUUUAAUACCCACUAAUAAUAUGAUAUGAAUACUAAUAUGAACUACAAAUUGGCUGCUUUGAUUUGGUCUCUGCUUUUGCUACCUUUGAUUCUCAUAAUAUAUCUUUCACUAACUGCAACAACAACAAUAACAACAACAACUAAAAUUUAAACAACAACUACAGCAACAACAAGAACAACAACUACAACAAAAGCACGAACGCACACUCGCUUUAAACCACAAAAAAUUCUAUCUUCAGAGCCUAAAGAGCUACUGUCCGAUGAGCAGGUUGAGAAUUUACUAUUAAAUCACACGGUGGAUGAGAACGGUGCCAUUAUAGUGGAAGAACUCAAAUCGCCAACAAC